CUCCAGCAUUACAUACAAAUGUUGUUGCAUAAGCCUCCCGGGGAUCCAGUUACAGAAGAUGUAGAGGCGGACAACUCCAUGAGCUCACACAACAACACUGUAGAUGAAUUGAAUGACACUGCACAAGCGGCCC